GGGGAAUUUUCCGCAAUGGGCGAAAGCCUGACGGAGCAAUACCGCGUGAGGGAGGAAGGCUCUUGGGUUGUAAACCUCUUUUCUCAGGGAAGAAAAAAAUGACGGUACCUGAGGAAUAAGCAUCGGCUAACUCCGUGCCAGCAGCCGCGGUAAUACGGAGGAUGCAAGCGUUAUCCGGAAUGAUUGGGCGUAAAGGGUCCGCAGGUGGCAUUGUAAGUCUGCUGUUAAAGAGUUUGGCUCAACCAAAUCAAAGCAGUGGAAACUACAAAGCUAGAGUAUGGUCGGGGCAGAGGGAAUUCCUGGUGUAGCGGUGAAAUGCGUAGAUAUCAGGAAGAAC
rnacentral:rRNA from 1 species